CCAAGCAGGUUCCUCUUGUCUUCGUGGUCAUGUCUUCCAGGUAGAUAGUUGAUUAUGUUGCGGUAUUAUGGCUUUGCAGAAAGUAGUAACUGAUUAUGAGUCGUCUGUGUGGCAAGCCGUUCGUCAAAUGUUGCCUGGUGUAACGAUGACCGGCUGCCUCUUCCAUUACACACAGGCUGUGUUCCGAAAGGUUCAAGAAUUUGGAUUACAACGGGCCUACCGAUUUGACGCUGCUACACGAUAAUCAGACAGCUGAUGGCUUUGCCCACGCUCCCGGGUAGAGCAUGUUGCUCCUAUCCUUCAACGUCUUGAGGAUUCGUAAGCAGAUAGCAAUGCGCUGCAGCAAAUUAUGACUUUACAUGCAAUCGUUCUCGUUAGAUUGUACUGUCCUCACUGCUCAACGAUCUUGAGGAUGGCAUCACCGCCUUAACAGGCAACCGAUGGUAAGAAAAUGGUUAAUUAAUUACAUUUUAAUAGAAAACAAGAUGUACACAAGAGACAG